AUGCUGGGAAGCUCACCUACAUAGACACAAAAUACGUGGUACAUGUGAAGAGUUAAAGAAUUUGACACCAAUUUUACAUAUGUGCAACAGUCAGAAUUCUACUUGGAGCCAAACAUUAAGUACGUAUUUCAAGUGAGAUGUCAAGAAACAGGCAAAAGGUACUGGCAGCCUUGGAGUUCACUGUUUUUUCAUAAAACACCUGAAACAGCAACAGAGGAGACAUUGGACUUUUAUUGGGAAUGAUCGUCUUUGCUGUUAUGUUGUCAAUUCUUUCUUUGAUUGGGAUAUUUAACAGAUCAUUCCGAACUGGAUUAAAAGAAGGAUCUUAUUGUUAAUACCAAAGUGGCUUUAUGAAGAUAUUCCUAAUAUGAAAAACAGCAAUGUUGUGAAAAUGCUACAGAAAAUAGUGAACUUAUGAAUAAUAAUUCCAGUGAGCAGGUCCUAUAUGUUGAUCCCAUGAUUACAGAGAUAAAAGAAAUCUUCAUCCCAGAACACAAGC
rnacentral:lncRNA from 1 species